AUUUCCCCAUCCCAGUCCCUGUUUUGGGGGUGUUGUGUCCCAUUUCCCCCAUCCCAGUCCCUGUGUUUGGGGUGUUUUGGGGUGUUUUUGGGUGUUGUGUCCCAUUUCCCCGACCCCAAUCUCUGUUUUUGGGGUGUUUUGGGUGUUGUGUCCCGUUUCCCCAUCCCAGUCCCUGUUUUUGGGGUGUUUUGGGGUGUUGUGUCCCGUUUCCCCAUCCCAGUCCCUGUGUUUGGGGUGUUUUGGGGUGUUUUUGGGG
rnacentral:lncRNA from 1 species